AAGCAUUUGAUGUCAAAAACUGGAUAGUCUUAAAAUUCAACAGCUUGAAUCUGUCUGCUUUCUUCAGAUAUGGCCGAGUGCCCAAACAAGUCCAGCCCUUGAUGUACGCCGCCAAAGACGAUUUGCACUCGCCUGCAUCCUCUGACACGUCCAAAGUUCCCGCCAAGAGGGCAAAGUCGGUCGAACCUCCACCAGUGCAGAAGUCCAAAAAGCCCAAACUGGUCACCCUGAGGUCGUCCAGGUCAGAGUUUAGUGACGAGGAGAACGAAAACGAGUGGGAGGAGGAGGAGCACCACCUCACCCGGAGCUCCAGUCGAGACGGCGACACUCACGGCUUUGUUCAGAGCAGCCUGCACGCCUCCAACACGGAGAUUUCAGAGGUGGAUGACACCAUGGUGGAGCUUGAUAUCUUGGACAGUAUGCCCGAUGUGCUGGGCCUUUCCCAAGAUGCCCUGUGUCCUGACUCAACCUGUCAGCAGGCAGAUCAUGACACAGGCACUUCUGAGCCCAGUGAGCACCAGCUGGACCUGCUUGUUGAUGUUAUAGACUUCAUUUCCUCGGAACAAACUGAAGGUAUGCGACUUGUCCGUUUUGUUUGUUUUUGUCUUAGGUGCGUCUGGUACCUGAUGCCGUAAAUUAAAUUGGACUUUUCAUGUUUCUUUCAGUGUCUCAGGAUGAGAGCUACACUGAAGCAGCUCAAACCCUUUUGACCAUUGGUAACCGAGCUCAAAUUUCUCCGUCUGCACAGAGUGGAGAUACCUUAGAAGAAUGCACUGCAGGAACAUCAGUUGGUGUCAGUGAGUUCACAUAUGCACAAGAGGAGAUUUUGACAGUUUCACCCCAGAAAAGGGUCCCUUCUGGGAAAUCUGCAGAUCAGAAAGUGACAUCGCCUCCCACCGAAAAGCACCAGAGUGCUGAAGUGGAAAGCAAUAACUCGCUUCCCGUUGAGACAAGUGAUCAGAACGUUGAUCAAUUGGGUUUUAAAUCUAUAGAGAAGUCUUCACUUAUAAAGGCUGGUCCGUGUUCUAAGGUGAAGCCUAAACCAAACCUCGGUCACAGCUCAAGGACUGCAAAACCGGUAUCUCACACUGAGAUGUCGACAGAAGGGGGAGCUGGAAUAAGCUGCUCAGUUGCUCAAUGUGUUUCUCAAGAUGAUGAGACUUCACUAUCUGCUGAAGAAACAUCCCCUGGAAUAUCAGCUUCUGCUGCAGCAUUGUUUAAAGAUAACACUUCCUCUCAGCGCGCCUGCUUGGAUCAGGUUGAAACAGGUGCAGCAGAUCAGAAUCUCCUGAAAAGCCAGAGUCAGACUGUAAUUCAGUCCCAGUUGGGGCCUCCUGUAAAGUCCAAGGCUGGCUUAAAUAAACCAGUUGAAGCAGUGCCAGAGGUUAAAAAAGCGUCAAGCAACGAUCACAGCCCAGUUCCAGACAGAACCAGCAAACCUCAACCCUCGGUUGCAGACAACUCUUCUGUGAGUCACACAGGAGAAGGUGAUGUAAAAAGUCCUUCUCAGCCCAGAGGCAGACUGCCAAAAGUCAAACCCAAACCAAUCUUACUGCAGACGUCAAGAAUAGCUAGAUCCAAACGGCAAACCACUGAAGGGGUGGCAGAGAAAGAGUCAAUUGAAAGUCAGAAUACUUCAACUAAAAUGCCAGCAGAACUUCCAGAUGAACGGACUACAAGUGAGGAGACAACAAGUCCUAAAUGUCUAAAUCAAGCAGCACCUGUUCAGAGCGCUACAGAAACUCUGAUCUCUGCCAAAGUCGUGCCUGAGCUCUGUGUGGAGCAGACCAGCAAAGACUCUGAAGCCACUUCUGAAACUGUGUCAACUGAACAAACAGACCCAGAACUACCAGCUCCACAUGGGUCACAUUUGGGUUCAGAAAGAAAAGAAGAUUCUGCUGCAGUUGCUGAAGCAACCUCCAAUCAAGAUGAGAAAAAAACGGGAUCUUCUCAGUCAAGAAAGGGUCGACUACAAAAGGUUAAACCCAAACCAAACAUACCACAGUUGUUGAGAGGUGCAAGAUCCAAAGCUCAGAACACAGAAGAUGCCAUCCAAAAAAAUCUGGAGCUUCACAAAAACCCAUCCGUAGAGGCGGAAACACAAACAAAACUCACCCAAAAACUGUCUGCAAAUAAGGAGAUGAAGACAAAAGAUGGAGUUGAAGAUCAAGAAGAAUUGGGUGGAGCACCAUCAGGUCAAAGUCCUACAAAAGCCAAGAAUCUCUCCAUCGAGUCCAGUUUGGAGCAGGCAACUGGAGAUGCACUAUCAAUUCCUGAUUUAACCAAAGAAAGUGCAGCAUCCCAUGUUGAAGAUCCAGUUUUAAAGGCCUGUGAGGUCACAGAACCAGAACAAGGACUACAUUUGGAUUUUAUUGAAAGUGCAAAUUCAGCUUCUUUAAAUAAGUCUGUAGAAGAGUUGGCAGUCAUGCAAAAAGAGGAAAAAUCGUUGCCAACAGGUCAGACAAAGAGAGAUCGACUGUCAAAAAUCAAACCAAACCUUCAAACAUCAAGAGCUGCAAGAUCUACAUCUCAAACCACUGAAGAAGUUACGCAAAAAGACUUGUUUCCAGGUGAAGGACCUGAUUUCACGAAGGUGGAACCAGAACAGGAACUGUCUGUAAAUAAAGACACAUGGAGAGAGGCUGGGUUUGUAGACCCCAAAGUAUUGACAGACAAGAGCACCAAAGAAAGCCCAAAUCCCUGUGAAGAUCAGCCUGAGCCAUGUAAGGAGCAAACCAUAAGAGAUAGAGGAGCAACGUCUGAUUCAGCUCCAGAAAAUCUGUCAUACUGUUUUGGGCUACAGUCAAAUGUGGAGCCAGGAAAAAGUGGAAAGCCUUCAGCAGCAGCACAGGAACCAAGUGCAUCUGAUGAAAGGAAGACGGGUCAAAUCAAAAAACGUAAACCCAAACCAAACCUGGUACAGACAUCAAGAGCUCUGAGGUCCAAAUCCUCAAAAGAUUCACAGGAUAAGAACUCAAGUUCCAUAAUAGAACCCAAAGUCCAUGAAGAUGCCAUGUCAUUGGUGGAAGCAAACCUGUCUUUGGACAGUCAAUCUGAAACCGUUCCUACUUCAACAGUACAGCCUGUUAUGACUUUAGACUCAACUUCCACUCCAACAACAUACUCUUCUUCAAAUGACGAUCAAAGGGAAUUAACUAGACUGGAUUCGAUUGAUAUGAUUGCAGAAAUAUCAGAUCAGAGCACCACAGAGAACCAGAACUUCCCUGAAGUCCAGAUUGGUAACACCAGAGUUGAAGAAUCUCUGACGGAGUUCUCUGAUAAAAACCUAAAAUCUCAUGUUGAACCAACUGAUUCAAGAGUUCCAGAGGCACCAAAGCUGGGUUUGGAUCCAACUUCAUCUGUUGCAGGGCCUCCAGCCGUCAAACAAGGUUCUGAAGUUGCAUCUUCUUGUUUAUCAGUGAGGAACAGAUUAUCAAAAAUUAAACCCAAACCCAACUUGACAAAAACCUCAAGAGCUGCAAGAUUGAGACCUCAGAUCUCAAAAGAAUCAGCACAAAGUUCUGAAUCCUGCAAAAAGUUUGAACCAGAAAACAGCAACAUCUCCAAUUCUGUUUCAGGUUCAGAACAAUCCAAGAAUGCAUUCCCUGCAGAAGAGAAACAUCCUAGACGUGUAGAUCAGGCGGACACGGAUGCAGCCACAACAGGUUGCAGUGCUCCAAAGAAACAGAACAUCUGUCAAGUCCUGGUUGAAGAACAAACAUCUGCAGACCAGGCAUCGGCCUCUGAGAUGAGAGAGGAAGCAUCUCCGGUUGGGAAGUCACCAGAUGUUCGGCAUUUAUCUGCACAGGCGUGUUCAGAAGAAGCUGAAUCAAACGCUAAGUUUAGGAGAUUACAGAAAAUUCGCCCCAAACCGAAUUUACCAAAUAAAUCAAGAACGGCAAGAAUUGGAACACCAACCAUAAAUGACCCAAAGGAAAAAGAUUUGAGUGAAACUCAAUUUGAACAAGACUUGAUUGAACAAACAUCUGCAGGAAACCAGAACAUCACUGAAGUUCCCAAUGAAGAUCAGACCACUGGAAAAAUUGAGGAAACAUCCUCUUUUGUUGAGGUGAGAAAUUUAGCAUGUGAAGAAGCAGAAAAGGGAGAAGUGUCCUUUGUGGGGCAGGAGCUCCAUCUUGCUGCAUCAGGAACCAAGCAACAUGUUGGUGAAGAGGAUGAAGCUGCAUCUACGUCUCAAUCCAAGAGGAGGCGUUUUCAGAAACCUGAACCAAACCUCCCUGUGACAUCAAAAGGCGCUAAAUCUAAACCCGAAUUCCCUAAAGAGCCAGUCCAACUCACGCUCGCUAUGAAGCAACCACAGAUCUCCACCUCCAAAUCUAUGGAGCAACCUCAGAUCUCUAUUUCUAAAUCUGUGGAGCAACCUCAGAUCUCCACCUCCAAAUCUAUGGAUCAACCUCAGAUCUCCAUCUCCAAAUCUUCUGACCGCUCAACAUCAAAAGAAGAUGGUCAGUUUGUGUUGACUUCUCAUAAAAUCAAAAGUUCAGUUGCGGAACCGUUCGUCGAAUUGAGCCCAUCUCAUAAAUUUGUAGAGGAAUCAACCUCCGAGUGCAAAACAAAUGUUGAACAAGUCUCCAAUUCAGAGCAAAAUCUUCUUCAGAGAAGACCAAGGCUUUCCAGAGUCAGACCCAAACCUAAUCUAGAAGUAUCCAGUCGAGCUUUGCGGCGAAAAGUUCAGCCAGGUGACGGUUCCAAACCUUCAGGUGAAACUUCCACACCUCCAAGUGGCCUUAAGACGUCAGUGGAGAUGGAACCAGGUGGAGAAAAAAUGGACAGUGAAGGUCCAGCUGAGAGGGACUUGAUGGAUCCGUCUGCAGCUGUGGAUGCUCAGGUCUCAACACAAGUCGGUUCUACAUCAACCUCCAAAGCCAGCUCGGUCAGUGCAGAGGGACACUCCUCAACCCAAAGUAUUGAUUCUGCUGAAUCAGAAGCAGCUGACUCUUCUGAGACGUCAAAUAAAGCUCCUCAACCUCCCAACAUCACGUGCAGCAGUCUUGCACAGCGCAGACAGACGGAUGCAGAUUCUGACACUAGCUCGAGGACAGCUUCGUUGGAGCCUCGCCCUGGCAGUCGAUGGCCAGUAGGUGGAGACAUUGAUGAGACGAGAGACAAAUCGUCCUGUCUAGAUCCUGCUUCUCAAGAAGUGUCAUCUACGCAAAAUACGUCGGCUUUAAAUCCGGAGGGGAUCCACACUUAUCCGCUUCUGAUGGAGAUGCUGCCCGAGCAGGUGCCUUCAGAUCCGGAUGAACCGUUCUUCGUCCUUUCUCUGAUGGAGAUCCCGGGGGAGGCGGUAACCAGCGCGGCCGAGAAGCCGCCUCAUCACCCCGUCGCAGAUGCUGUCACGCUGCGGCCGUGGGAUUCUGGAGAGAGUUCCACAGCAGCAGCAGGAGAGAAGUCCGUCUCUGGCGUCUCCACAAAAAGUGCAGAAACAAGUUCUGCAUCUGAAGAAAAACCUGCAGAAAAUCUAGAAACCUGUGUUGCCAGAGAGACGGACGCAGCAGCUGAGAAUAAAGCAGUUAUUUCAACAAGGAGAAGAAGAACUAAAGCUGAAGCUACCGUCAGCCAGAGAAGUGAGGCUGAAGCUGCUUCUGACCCACGAAGUUGUAAAAAAGGAAAAAGCUUGAAGAAAUCUGACAGCAGUUUGGGCUCCAAAAAAAGUAACACAAGCAGUCGUCAGACUAGGUAAGGUAUUUUUUUAUAUAUUAACAAUUUGUCAAUGAUAUUACCCUUUAAGAUCUAGUUUUUCUGUCCCUUACAGAAAAGCAAAAGACGUUUCCCAUGAAGUCAAAACGUCGCCCAGCGAUUCCCCUGCUGCGAAGGCGAAGACGUCUGCUAAGAAAGCAGCUUCUGCGUCACAUGAAGAUGCUGCACCAGCCAAAGUCCGUUCAGCUCCUGUGGGGUCGCAGUCCAGACCCACCGCCGACCAGACACCCGGCACCUCAACUCCCAGCUCCACCCUCCGCACCGCCCGGGUAAGACGGCAACUAGCGGCUGAAAACAUGUCAUUUCUUUUCUCUCAUUUGGGUUUGUGUUGAUCUUUGCAGGAAAGCUGUGCUGAGAUCAGCUCAGCAGAGGAGGAGCCCACCAGCGUGUCGCAGUACUUCAUUAGUGACAUUUUCACAGAAGUGGAUGAGUCAUGAACACCGGAUUCUCAUUUAAAGAAGCUCCUGUUUUUUAGUCUUAGUUGUGAUGUUUUUAUAGUCCAAUACACCCCCCCCCCAAACCCCAAUGGCACUUUGAAUUGGUUUUGGAGUUGAAAUCAGUGCUUUUUGAAAAUGCACUUAGAUGAUAAAUGCUAAAGUCUGAAAGCUAAAGCGGCAGCAGCUGAAUGUUUCAGUUCAGCCUCAAAUUUUACUCAACAACUGUGAAAAUGUAAAUAUGUUGUGUGUUUCAUUUUGUACUUGAUGCCACUUUCUAAAUUGUGUACAGCUUUAUACAACCCUCUUGUGUACAUAAUUUUAUUUAGUUAAGCAAACUCCAUCAAAGGUGAAUUUAUGGAUGUUUCCAUGAAUGGUUGACGAGUAACAGUGGUUUACAAUAAAUCAAGAUAAACACUUGAUUGGGUUUUUUAUUUGACUUUUUUAUGUGUUUCUUUAUAUUUAAUUUAUAACUGUAGAGACU
ensembl:lncRNA